UUUUAGCAUGGAAUAAUGGAAUAGGACGUGUGGUUCUAUUUUGUUGGUUUCUAGGACCGCCGUAAUGAUUAAUAGGGACAGUCGGGGGCAUCAGUAUUCAAUUGUCAGAGGUGAAAUUCUUGGAUUUAUUGAAGACUAACUACUGCGAAAGCAUUUGCCAAGGAUGUUUUCAUUAAUCAGGAACGAAAGUUAGGGGAUCGAAGACGAUCAGAUACCGUCGUAGUCUUAACCAUAAACUAUGCCGACUAGGGAUCGGACGGUGUUAUUUUUUGACCCGUUCGGCACCUUACGAGAAAUCAAAGUGCUUGGGCUCCAGGGGGAGUAUGGUCGCAAGGCUGAAACUUAAAGAAAUUGACGGAAGGGCACCACCAGGGGUGGAGCCUGCGGCUUAAUUUGAUUCAACACGGGGAAACUCACCAGGUCCAGACACAAUGAGGAUUGACAGAUUGAGAGCUCUUUCUUGAUUUUGUGGGUGGUGGUGCAUGGCCGUUUUUAGUUGGUGGAGUGAUUUGUCUGCUUAAUUGCGAUAACUUACGAGACCUUAACCUGCUAAAUAGCCCGUAUAGCUAUUACAGUAGAUGUNAUUCCUAGAGGGACUAUCGGGUCAAGCCGAUGGAAGUGUGAGGCAAUAGCAAGUCAGGGAUGCCCUUAAAUAUAGGGCCGCACACGCCCACAACGGAGCCAGCGAUCCUACCCAUCCGCAAUCACC
rnacentral:rRNA from 1 species